rnacentral:lncRNA from 1 species
AUGUGUGUUAUGUUUGACCAACUGGGAACGGGUAAUGUAACGAAACAUACCGAGCAAAUCUAAGGUCUAUAGGCUUAUAUCAUUUGGAACUUGCUGUCUGGAAUGCUGGAGUGGUCAUGGGUCGAGAUACUUGGAAUCGCAAGACAAGUCUAACGGUUUUGUACAUGUGGUUUAUGAAACGCUUAACAAAUGAUUUAUGCUUCCGCUGAAUACAAUGAUUUACGUUUAAUGUUUUGUAACACUUCAUAAUAAUGAAU